rnacentral:rRNA from 1 species
GCCAGACUCCUACGGGAGGCAGCAGUGGGGAAUAUUGCACAAUGGGGGAAACCCUGAUGCAGCGACGCCGCGUGAGCGAAGAAGUACCUCGGUAUGUAAAGCCCUAUCGGCAGGGAAGAAGGAGGACGGUACCUGACUAAGAAGCCCCGGCUAACUACGUGCCAGCAGCCGCGGUAAUACGUAGGGGGCAAGCGUUAUCCGGAUUUACUGGGUGUAAAGGGGGCGCAGACGGCAGCGCAAGCCAGGAGUGAAAGCCCGGGGCCCAACCCCGGGACUGCUCUUGGAACUGCGCGGCUGGAGUGCAGGAGGGGCAGGCGGAAUUCCUGGUGUAGCGGUGAAAUGCGUAGAUAUCAGGAGGAACACCGGUGGCGAAGGCGGCCCGCUGGACGGCGACUGACGUUGAGGCCCGAAAGCGUGGGGAGCAAACAGGAUUAGAUACCCGAGUAUCC